rnacentral:rRNA from 11 species
GUUGAUUUCCCAUUUCACCUUCAGCACAUUUUAUCUUGUCCGAUUUCAAAAGCUAAGCACGUUUGGACCUAGGUAGUACUUGGACAGGAUACCACAAGGGAUCUCCAGGUAGGACCAGCA